UACAGAGGUCCCAAGCGUUGUUCGGAUUCAUUGGGCGUAAAGGGUGCGUAGGCGGCGCGGUAAGUCGGGUGUGAAAUCUCGGAGCUUAACUCCGAAACUGCAUUCGAUACUGCCGUGCUUGAGGACUGGAGAGGAGACUGGAAUUUACGGUGUAGCGGUGAAAUGCGUAGAUAUCGUAAGGAAGACCAGUGGCGAAGGCGGGGUCUCUGGACAGUUCCUGACGCUGAGGCACGAAGGCCAGGGGAGCAAACAGG
rnacentral:rRNA from 1 species